CCUACGGGUGGCUGCAGUAGGGAAUAUUCGACAAUGGGCGAAAGCCUGACCGAGCAACGCCGCGUGAAUGAAGAAGGCCUUCGGGUUGUAAAGUUCUGUUAGAAGGGAAGAAAGGUGAUAGGAGGAAAUCACUAGCAAUUGACGGUACCUUAUGAGAAAGCCACGGCUAACUACGUGCCAGCAGCCGCGGUAAUACGUAGGUGGCAAGCGUUAGCCGGAAUUAGUGGGCGUAAAGAGCGCGCAGGUGGUUAAUUAAGUCUGAUGUGAAAGCCCAGGGCUUAACCGGGGAGGGGCAUUCGAUACUGGUUGGCUUGAGUGCAGAAGAGGGAAGUGGAAUUCCAGGUGUAGCGGUGAAAUGCGUAGAGAUAUGGAGGAACACCGGUGGCGAAGGCGGCUUCCUGGUCUGCAACUGACACUGAGGCGCGAAAGCGUGGGGAGCAAACAGGAUUAGAUACCCUUGUAGUC
rnacentral:rRNA from 1 species